CAGUCGCCGCGGUAAUACGGAGGGUGCUAGCGUUGCUCGGAAUCACUGGGCGUAAAGGGUGCGUAGGCGGGUCUUUAAGUCAGGGGUGAAAUCCUGGAGCUCAACUCCAGAGCUGCCUUUGAUACUGAAGAUCUUGAGUUCGGGAGAGGUGAGUGGAACUGCGAGUGUAGAGGUGAAAUUCGUAGAUAUUCGCAGGAACACCAGUGGCGAAGGCGGCUCACUGGCUCGAUACUGACGCUGAGGUGCGAAAGCGUGGGGAGCAAACAGGAUUAGAUACCCCAGUAGUCCCUGUCUCUUAUAC
rnacentral:rRNA from 1 species